rnacentral:rRNA from 2 species
UGGUUGUCGUCAGCUCGUGUCGUGAGAUGUUGGGUUAAGUCCCGCAACGAGCGCAACCCUUGAUCUUAGUUGCCAGCAUUCAGUUGGGCACUCUAAGGUGACUGCCGGUGACAAACCGGAGGAAGGUGGGGAUGACGUCAAAUCAUCAUGCCCCUUAUGACCUGGGCUACACACGUGCUACAAUGGAUGGUACAAAGGGCUGCGAGACCGCGAGGUUUAGCCAAUCCCAUAAAACCAUUCUCAGUUCGGAUUGCAGGCUGCAACUCGCCUGCAUGAAGCUGGAAUCGCUAGUAAUCGCGGAUCAG